CAGUCGCCACGGUAAUACGUAGGGUGCGAGCGUUAAUCGGAAUUACUGGGCGUAAAGCGUGCGCAGGCGGUUCGUUAAGACAGAUGUGAAAUCCCCGGGCUUAACCUGGGAACUGCAUUUGUGACUGGCGAGCUAGAGUAUGGCAGAGGGGGGUAGAAUUCCACGUGUAGCAGUGAAAUGCGUAGAGAUGUGGAGGAAUACCGAUGGCGGAGGCAGCCCCCUGGGCCAAUACUGACGCUCAUGCACGAAAGCGUGGGGAGCAAACAGGAUUAGAUACCCCGGUAGUCCCUGUCUCUUAUAC
rnacentral:rRNA from 1 species